AGAGUUUGAUCCUGGCUCAGAAUCAACGCUGGCGGCGUGCCUCAGACAUGCAAGUCGAACGCGAAAGUCCCCUUCGGGGGACAAGUAGAGUGGCGUCCGGGUGAGUAACACGUAGGUAAUCUACCUUCGGGUGGGGAAUAACGCAGGGAAACUUGCGCUAAUACCGCAUAAUGCAGCGGCACCACAUGGUGACAGUUGUUAAAGCGGGGGAUUUUCGAACCUCGCGCCUGAAGAGGAGCCUGCGGCAGAUUAGCUAGUUGGUAGGGUAACGGCUUACCAAGGCGACGAUCUGUAGCCGGCCUGAGAGGGCGGUCGGCCACACUGACACUGACAUACGGGUCAGACUCCUACGGGAGGCAGCAGUCGGGAAUUUUGGGCAAUGGGCGAAAGCCUGACCCAGCAACGCCGCGUGAAGGAUGAAAUCCCUCGGGAUGUAAACUUCGCAAGAAUAGGAAGAAUGAACGAGUACUAAUACUGCUCGUGAUGACGGUACUAUUUGUAAGCUCCGGCUAACUCCGUGCCAGCAGCCGCGGUAAUACGGGGGGAGCAAGCGUUGUUCGGAUUUACUGGGCGUAAAGGGCGCGUAGGCGGCCAGCGCAAGUCAGUUGUGAAAUCUCCGGGCUUAACUCGGAACGGUCAACUGAUACUGCGCGGCUAGAGUGCGGAAGGGGCAACUGGAAUUCUCGGUGUAGCGGUGAAAUGCGUAGAUAUCGAGAGGAACACCUGCGGCGAAGGCGGGUUGCUGGGCCGACACUGACGCUGAUGCGCGAAAGCCAGGGAGCGAACGGGAUUAGAUACCCCGGUAGUCCUGGCCUUAAACGAUGGAUGCUUGGUGUCUGGAGUUUAUAGUCCUCCGGUGCCGCAGCUAACGCGUAAGCAUUCCGCCUGGGGGAUUACCGUCCGCAAGACUGUAACUCAAAGAAUUGACUGGUACCCGCAAAGCGGUGGAGACAUGUGUUUCAAUUCAGCGCACCCGAGAACCCUACCUGGCCUAGAUGGCUGUGACACCCGAUAGAUACGCCCUCUAGGUACCUAGCCAUGCAAGGCGUCAUGCUGCUCCACCCUUGACAGAGAUUGGCUAAUCCGCAAGCGCUCCUUAU
rnacentral:rRNA from 1 species